GAUAAAUUUGGAAAAUCAAGUUUUACCAAUCUUUUCAUAUUACAAAUUCAAUGCUUUAUAAUGCAGACUCUUGCAGAAAUGCAGGAUAAGGCCACGUACAUAGACUCAUGUUGGUUUUUAGCUUUGAAAGAGAAAUAACAGAAAAAGAGUUGGAAAGAAAAAAAGAGAGUUAUUUUAUUAAUAACUCAAAACAUAUAUUUACAUAGCUAAAUUUCUAACUACACUCCAAUUUAAAUUGAGAUAACUAAUUCUUAUUCAAAUAAUAAAGGACAACUAAUUCCUAAGUCACACAGGACUUUAAUAAUUUAAAACUACUAAAAUUAUCUAUUCCUAUUUUAAUUCUGAGACAUAUUUUCAACACUCCUCCAUGUAUCAGAAAUUGUCUGGGCUUCAGCUGAAUUUGACCUCUUGAAUAAAUCUGUCAAUUCUUCUUUGUUCUUGCAUGACUUAUGUGCAUCUUCUGUUGGAUUAUAUAAGAAACUUUUGUCUCUCAUAUCAACUUGUAAAAUCUCAAGAUUUCCUUUUGACAUUUGAAAUUAUUUUUGUACCCGAAAUUGUUUUGACUGCAACAUUCCCUUUUCCUUCUGCAGGAAUAUAGUCACCAUUUCCAAUUCUGAUUUUCUUAUUUUUCAAAGGCAUAGUAAAUAAAUGUAUCCUUUAACUUAGCCUCAUCUGACAUUUAUGUUAUCCUACUUCGUGUGAGCACGAGUAAUAACUUAAAUUUAUAUAAAGUUGAACAAGUACACACACAUCCUAUAUGUCAUCUAUGUGGAAAUCCUAUAUGUGGCAAAAUUCACCCAAACCCAAAUGACCCGCCGAACCCGCCCAAGGUUUCAUGGGUUUGGGCAAGAGUGAUUUUGAUAAUGGGUUAAUUUGGGCUAGCCCAAGUCAACCCAUUACAAAUCACUAACCCAAAUAGACCCACGAUGAUGCCCAAACUUGACCCAUUAAAUUGUUUAAAGCUUUUACAAAAUCCUAUUUUAUUAAUGGGAGACUUACAAAAAUAGUCUAGGUUUCAACUAAAUGAGAUUGUUUCUAGCCGAACUUUUAAAAGUACAAUCUAUAGCAUUUCUUUCUCUUUCUUUUCCAUUUUUUUUACUUUUUUUUUACUUUUUAAUUUUCUCUUUAUUGUUUUUUUCUCUUUCUCAUUUUUUUUGUUUUUGUUGUAUUUUAGGUAGGUAGAUAGGUAGGCAGGCAGGCAGGUAGAUAGAUAAAUAGAUUUGUAUUUUUGAAAAAUAUGAUUUCGUCGAGUACAAGUCAUGGAAGAUGACAGAUACAUCAUAACCGGUCAUUUAUUUCUAUUCCCCAUCAUUUUUUUCUUUUGUCUCUUUUUCAUUUUCUUUUACUUUUUGAUUUUCUUGUUUUUUUUUCUCCUUUUUUUUAUUUUUCAUUUUUUUCUCUUUUUUUGGUUUUUUCUUCUUAUUUUCGUUUUGCUCCUUUUUUCUAUUUUUAUUUUUUUCAUUUCUUUUUUUUUCUUUUAUUUUUUUUAUUCUAUCUAUAGCUUGUAUUUCUCUUUCUUUUUCUUUCUUUUUUUGAAUUUUUUAUUCCCCUUUUAAAAAAUAUGGCUAUGUGGAGCCAAGUUAUGAUUGAUAACGAAAAAUACCACAAUGACUUAUUGUAUUUAUAUUCGCACUAUCAUUUAUAUUUUUAUAUUUAUUGAUAAAAUUGCAUUUGUAUUUUAUAAUUCGCACUUGUAUUUGUAUUUAUAUUUUAUAGUUGAUAUUUGUAUUUGUAUUUUAUAAUUCUACUUGUAUUUGUAUUUUAUAGUUCACGCUUGUGUUUAUAUUUGUAUUUUAUAGUUUGCACUUGUAUUUGUAUUUUAUAGUUCUCACCAUUAUUUAUGUUUUAUACAAUUUAUCUUUAUUGAUACGAAUUGCAUUUUAUUAAUAUAAAUUGAACAAUACAAAUAUAAAUGAUAAAUUACAAAAAUAAAAUGUUAAACUAUACAAAUACAACGUUUACAUUUGUAUCAAAUGAUACAUAUUUAUACAAUUUAAACCAUACACAUGAAAAUGACACUUGUUUUUAUAGAAAUGCAAAUGAUAAACUUAACAUACCAAUACUAACGAUACAUUUACAUUGAAUGACAUAUUGCAUAUUAAAUAUUUUAGACUCAAAUAAAUAUAAUUAUUCCUUAUAACUAUUUUUAUACAAAUAUAAAUGAUAAAUUAUAUUCACGGCUAAACUAUUCAAAUAUAAAUAAUAAAUUUAUUUGAAAUACAUAUGAUACAAAUAAAUAAAAAAUUUAAAAAUACAUAAAAUAUAAAAUACGAAAAAAAGGAGGAAAAACGAAAAAGAGAAAAAAGAAAAUAAAAAAAGGUUUCAAAGAAAAAAGUAAUAAAAUAAAAAAAUAGAUUAAAAUGAAAAAAUAGAAAAUAGAAAAAAUAAAAAGGAAAAAAUGGAAUAAAAAAUGAAAAAGAAAAAAAAAAGGAAAGGUAAAAAAGAUAGAAAAAAGGGAAAAACUUGUUGGCGUUUUUAAUUUGAUUAAAUUUGCAUUUGGUGGGUUGGGUUGUACCCAUUACCCAUAGUUUAGCCUAUCUUGACCCAAAUGCAUUUGGGCAUGAUUGGGCAUUUGCCCAAUUAUUUGUUCUGCCCAUCUUGACCAGCCCAACUUCAGCCUAACCUAUCCAUUUGUCACCCCUACUUCAACCCAACCUAUCCAUUUGUCACCCCUACUCCUCUCCAUUUACUUGUUGCCUCUAGUAACUAUGUGCCUGAAUUAAUAAACCAUCCUAGAGCAAAGAAGAUAUCAUUUAACAAACAAAAUCAGACUCCACUUGAUAUAGCAUUGUCAUGCACAAUGACAACAAAGAAGGUAAGCGAUCGCACAUUUAUUUUUCAAAUAUUGGUUGCACUCGAGUAUAUGCUGGUGAAAUAUUGAAAUACAAGUUCAAGGAUUAUAUCAAGCGAAAGAAUGAUUUGCAUGCACUCACAAAUCUUAAGUUUUUUAUCCGUUCUUUAUGUGGUGUUGAAACAUCAAGUAAAACUGUAAUUCUAUUUCUUGAUCUACCUUCACCUAAAUUUAUUUUUACAUGAUAUCAUUAUCUCCUAAUCUAUGAACAGAUUAGUUCUCAAUUAAAUAAUUUACUGUGUUAAAAUUUUUGACUGACUCAAUAUAAACUUUACUAUUGAUGAAAAUAGGAGAAAUUGGUGGAGGAUUUGUGUAGCAUUGGCCAUUUUGAAAAACAUGACUUUGAGGUAAAGCAGAAGUACGGUACAUGCACAAUCCAAAUGCUGAAAUGGGAACAGGAGUCAAAAUGCAACUGAGGGAAGUUGAUGAUACAAGUACAACUAGCUCAAGAUCAUUCACACGUAGCCAAGCUCGGUAGUUACAAAAACUCCAAGCCAUGUUAUAGCAAAUGAUCGUGUGUGAGUGUGUAGUUAAUUUAUCUAAGGGAUUUCAUGUUUUGAAGUGUGAAGAGGGGCUUUGAAGUGUAAGUUUAUUACACUCCAAAGCCACCCAAGACCAAGGCUAGAAUGGUCAUUUUCCUUUUAUUUUGUAAAGUACUAUAAAUAGAAAUAAUAGGGCUAUUUCUUGGACUUAGUUCAUUUUUAUUUUUGAAGAAACACAAGUCUUGUAAUAUUUUGAGAAAUUCUCUCUCUUGUUCUUGAGAGUGAACCCAAAACUAGACAACAAAGUGUAGUAACACUUUUGUUUUUCUUUGGCUAGAAACUUGGGAGUUUUAAGGUUUAUGAGUUCCUCUUGAUUCAAGUAAGAAUUUGGUAUAAAUAUCUUUUAGUCUUAGGGUCCUAAUCUUCAUGUUAGGGUUCUUAGAUUCUAGGAUAUUUUGUGUCAAGUUACUAUCCAUCAUUUUGUAAUCUUGUUGUUUGUAUCUUGAUAUAGUGAAGCCAUGUGGGGCUCUUUCGAUUCACUAUAGUUAUUGCAAUCUUGUGUGAUUUAUCUAUCUUGUUGAAUAUUGUCGUUGUUGCCUUGAAAACCUAGAGAAGUUGAGUGCGGCCUUUGAUUAUCUAGUGAUGUUGUUCUUGUUGUUCUCUUGAUUCCUUGUUGUAAGUUUGAUCUUUUGUAUUAUUUGGUAUCAAAGCUCAAGGCUUGGUUUUGUUCUUACAAAACCAAUCUUGGGAAGCUUUUACCAAGAAGUGUGUUCUUGAACAUUUUGGUCGAAAAUUGGUUGUAGAUCUACAAAAGAGUUUACUUGUUUAGUUUGUUUCUUGUGUUGGUCUCUUCCCCACCAACACAAAAAAGUGUCUAAAUCUAAAGUUGAGCUUAAUAAGAAGAGACUUGUUGUUGUGAAAACUUGAAGUGGCCUUGAGUUUGACUUGUGUUGGAUGUUGGAGUGCCAUUGUGGUGUAUUGUUGUUUUAUUAUUGAAGAUGUUGAUGUUGUGUUAAUCUUAAAAUUUUCUCUUCAUCCUAUGUCUUAAAAAGAGCAAUAGAUCCAAAAAGGUUGCAAGACAAAAUUGAAAAGGUUGUUUGUGAGAAGACUUGCCAACAUCACCUUUCUAGACUUGACAACCACUUUUCCGUUAAAACAAGGAACCUUGUCUUGUGGAACUAGUAAGGUCAAACAUCACCUUUUGAGUUUGAAAAAGUUGAAAAAAAAAAAGGUUACAAAACUUUAUGUUUCCCUCCCAAUAACAAUUCAUCCAUUGCACAUGUUAUAAAGGGACCAAGGCUUCAAGUUGAUGAAAAACAUGUGUGGACCCGUGGCCAAUGACAUGCUACCACGUCACCCUAGUUACUUUUCACAUGAUAAUUAAGCUCAAAUUUGGAUGUUCUAGUUUCUAAUUAUUGAUUCUUAGUUUCAUAUAAUUGACUUGAGAACUAAUUAACAAACUAGUACAUUCCUACUAGCUUGUCAAUUAGCCCUUUGAAGCUUUGUAUUCGUGUCAACGUUUGUUUGUGUGCUUUUAUCAUUUAAAUAAGUUGUAACUCUUGGUUCUAGUCCGACGAGAAUUCUUUGAGUUUCAAACAAGAAUCAAUUCCGGACAAGAGCAUACUCAUACCUUAAGGAUUAACGGGUUACUAGCCAAUCUACAACACUUGUGGAGCUUGAGUGUGAGUGAACCAAGAGAGUGUGAGUGAGGAGAGGUUUUAAACUAACUUAUUUAUUGCUUGUGUAGGUGAUAUCUUGACAAUGGAAGGAACCACGUCUCAAAACGUGGAUUCUAAUGAAAUGGAGAAUAUGAGGGUCACUCUUGAGGAUAUGACCCAAACUCUUGAAAGGUUGAGUAUGGAAGUGGGAGCCAUAAAAGGAGAAGUAACGACUAUUAGUGGGAGGUUAGAACAAGUUGAGAGUCAAAGAAACUCUCACCCUUCUACCCUUCGACAUGUUUCCUCAAGUGGACAUGAUAUAAAUUCCUCUGCCAUCGUUACUCCUGAAACAUGGCCACAAUUGCCAAAUCCUUCACUAGCUCUGCUAAAUGCCGCAAGCCAAAUGACCUAUAACCCCCUAACCCGAGACUCCAAUAGACCAACCCAUUCCCAAUCUUCUCAAGUUCCGCAAGAAGGACUUGGGAUUCUAAUACCUCCACUAAAUCCAAACCCUCCCUUCCAAGCUCCACUAAACCAAAUACUACCACCUCCACAAAAUACAAUUCCUCUAAAUCAAGUCCCAAAUUUUCAAAACUGUCUCGUCCACUUUGAGGAUUAUGGUAGAGUGAAUUAUGAAGGGUAUGGAACCUUUGAUGAGGCUUACAUAAGGGAAGAGGAUAUGAGAGGGGGACGUGUGGAUCCAAGAAGAUACUAAGGGUAUGGAUAAAGGAGAAACCGACACCAAGAGAGAGACGUAGGCAUCAAUACCAUCGAAUUGAGCCUACCUAUCUUUAAGGGUAAAAGUGACCCCGAGGUUUAUCUUUCUUGGGAAUUGGCGUGCGAUAAAGUGUUUCAAGUGAAUGAUAUCUCAAAAGAGAAGAAGAUUUGUUACGCCAUAGCUCACUUUGAAGGUUAUGCUAACACAUGGUGGGAAUACGUCAAACGGUUUGGUAAUGAGUUGAUUGAUGGAAAACCACCACCAUGGUUUCGGUUGAGGUAUCUAAUGAGUCAACGGUGUCUUCCCAAAAAUUAUCAUCAUGAGUUGCUUGCUAGGUUGUACAAUUUGCGACAAGGGAAUCGAAGUGUGAUGGCAUAUUAUGAUGAGUUUCAACAACUCAUGUUGAAGUUUGAUCAUCGUGGAGAACAAAUUAGUCAUGACAUAAUUCGGUUCAAGUUUGGGUUGAACAAAGAGAUCUCCACUCAUUUGACACCUCAUAAGUUUGAUACCGUUGAAGGUAUUUUCCAAGCGGCUCUUGAGAUGGAAAGGGAACUUAAAGAGAGGUCGUCGUUCAAAGCAAAGGGACAAUCGACCUCGGGUUGGCCAAGGGGCAAGGAUAUGGUUCAAUCCUCUUCGGGUUGGCCUAAAAAUAAGGACCAACCCGCCAUUACUAGGCUGCUUGAGCCCAAAACAGUCCCCAAAAUUCCUCCGAGGCAAGAAGUUCACAAGUAUCCUAAUCCUAAAAGGUUCCAAUGCUUCAAGUACCAAGGUUGGGGGCAUAAAGCCAACGAAUUCCCUAACCGAUGCAAUGUAAUCCUAAGGAAAGGUAGAUUGUAUUUUCUUGGUCAAGAAGUGGGUGUUGAAAGAGAGGAAAAUGAGGUCGAGCCUCAAUAUGGAGAGAAAAUGGAGGGUGAGCCAUAUGAUGAUGAUGAUGGGAAAGAUGUUUAUCUGGAAGAAGGAGAGUGUGUUGUUCCAAACUUUGUAGUGAGGUGUACCAUGAUUAGUAAGGCAAUAGAUGACCCUAGCCAAAGGGAGAAUCAAUUCCAUACUAAGUGUCUUGUGAAGGGUAGUGUGUGCACUUUGGUGAUAAAUAGUGGUAGUUGUGCAAAUGUUGUUAGUGUUGCUAUGGUGAAUUUCUUGAAAUUGCUCACUACACUUCAUACUAGCCCUAAUAAGUUGCAAUGGUUGAAUGAAUAUGGUGAAUUAAAAGUCACGAGGCAAUGUGUGAUACGGUUUAAGGUGGGAAACUACCAUGACGAAGUGUUUUAUGACGUAAUACCAAUGCAAGCGUGUCACUUGUUGUUAGGUAGACCUUGGAAAUAUGAUAGGUCUACCAAACGUGAUGGGAGGUAUAAUAUAUAUACACUUGAUAAGGAUGGCCAAAAGGUCACACUUCAUCCAUUUUUUCCUUCAUAAGUGAACGAGUUGCAUCAAAGGAUGAGAGAAUUGAAAGAAAAAGGGAAGAAAUCCGAAAAUAAAGAAAAGAAGGGGAAACCCAUAGGUGGGACAGUGGGGGUAUCCGGGGAUGCCUCAACAUCAAAUGGAAAAGAAAAUAUGGUGAUGUUGGUUAGAAAGAAGGAGCUCUUCGUGGAUCAUGAUAAGAACACACCCAUGCUUCUUUUGUCACAUUCUUUUAACACUAACCCCACUAAUUCUUCUAUUUGUCCUUUGAUUUCUCUUGUGUUGCAAGAUUAUAAAGAUGUUUUUCCUAAAGAACUUCCGCAAGGUUUGCCCCCACUUUGGGGUAUUGAGCAUAAAAUUAACUUUGUGCCGGGCUCAUAAUUGCCAAACAAACCGGCUUAUAGAAGCAACCCUACUGACACCAAAGAACUCUAACAACAAGUUGAAGAACUUCUCAACAAAGGUUACAUCAAAGAGAGCAUGAGUCCAUGUGCGUUUCCGGUAUUAUUAGUGCCAAAUAAGGACGGAACUUGACGUAUAUGUGUGGACUGUCGAUCCAUCAACAAGAUUAUGGUAAAAUAUCGUUACCCUAUUCCUAGAUUAGAUGACAUGCUUGAUGAAUUGAAUGGUUCUUGUAUAUUUUCCAAGAUAGAUCUUUGGAGUGGUUAUCACCAAAUUCGUAUGCAACCCGUAAUGAAUGGAAAAUCACCUUCAAGACCAAAUUUGGUCUCUAUGAAUGGAUGGUUAUGCCAUUCGGCCUAACCAAUGCUCCAAGUACUUUCAUGCGGCUAAUGAAUCAUGUGAUGAAGCCUUUUAUUGGAAAGUUUGUUGUUGUUUAUUUUGAUGAUGUCUUGGUAUAUAGCAAGUCCAUAGAUGAGCAUGUAUUGCAUUUACAAAGUGUCUUUGAUGUGCUUCGAAAAGAGAAGUUGUGCCCCAAUCUUGAAAAGUGUUCCUUUGGUGUUAAUGAAGUUGUUUUCUUGGGUUUUGUUAUUAGUUCAAGAGGGGUCGAAUUGGAUGAAUCCAAGAUAGACGCUAUCAAAAAUUGGCCAAUCCUACAAACCAUUGGUGAAGUAAGAAGCUUCCACGGGUUGGCUAGUUUGUAUAGAAGGUUUGUCAAAGGAUUUAGCACCAUAGCGUCCCCCUUGACCGAGGUCAUUCGAAAAGACCAACCCUUCAAGUGGGGUGAAGAGCAAGAUAAGGCUUUUGAAGCUUUGAAAGUUAUUCUCAUUUCCCCCCUUUGUUGCAAUUGCCCAACUUUGAUAAGACAUUCGAAGUUGAAUGUGAUGCUAGUAAAGUAGGCAUAGGGGUUGUUUUGAUGCAAGACUUUAAACCCGUUGCUUAUUUUAUUGAAAAGCUUAAGGGUGCUACUCUAAACUACUCCACGUGUGAUUUAGUGUUGUAUUCCUUGAUUAGAGCAUUGGGCAAUUGGCAACACUACUUAUGGCCCAAGGAAUUUGUGAUCCGGACGGACCAUGAAUCCUUGAAACACUUAGGGGCACAAGACAAGUUUAACAAACGGCACGCCAAAUGGAUUGAGUUUCUAGAAACCUUCCCUUAUGUUAUUCAAUACAAGAAGGGUAAGGACAAUGUGGUUGUGGAUGCCUUAUUUAGAAACCAUAUACUUGCGUCCACUUUGUCUUCAAAGUUAAUGGAUUUUGAGAGCCUAAAGGUAUUGUAUCCCGAUGAUCCUCACUUUUCUUCUAUCUUUAGGGAAUGCAAAGAAUUGGGUAGGGACAGUUAGGUUUCAGAUAGGGGUUUAAACCCUUAUGCCAAGUUUGAUGGUUACUUGUUUAAAGAUAGAUGAUUGUGUGUACCUUCUAGCUCUUUGAGAGAGUUUUUUGUGAGGAAAGCACACGAUGGUGGUCUAAUGGGUCAUUUUGGGAUUGAAAAGACCCUUGGGAUAUUGGAGGAGCAAUUUUAUUGGCCUAGAAUGCACAAGGAUGUGGCUAGGAUUUGCAGCCAAUGUGUAGAUUGUGAGGGAGCCAAGUCUUAACUCCUCCCUCACGGUUUAUAUACCCCGCUUCCCACUCCUUUAUGUCCUUGGAUUGAUAUAUCUAUGGUCUUGUGUUAGGAUUGCCGAGGACUAGACGAGGUAGGGAUAGCAUUUUUGUUGUGGUUGAUUGGUUUUCUAAGAUGGUACACUUCAUUCCUUGUUCAAAAAGUGAAGAUGCAUCAAGUGUGGCUUCAUUAUUUGUUGAAAAUGUUGUCAAAUUGCAUGGUGUUCCGAGGACCAUUGUAAGUGAUAUAGACUCUAAGUUCCUUAGUCACUUUUGGAAGUCAAUGUGGGGUAGGCUUGGCACUAGAUUGUUAUUUUUUACAUCUUGCCACCCACAAACCGAUGGCCAAACUGAGGUUGUAAAUAGGAAGUUGGGUUCUAUGUUACGAUCAAUGGUUAAAGGCAAAAUGACUUCAUGGGAGGACCACCUACCUUUGGUGGAAUUUGCAUACAAUCGGGUUAUACACUCAAGUACGGGAAUGACUCCCUUUGAGUGUGUAUACGGCAUCAACCCCCUCACCCCUUUGGAUUUAAAUCCUUUGCCAAGUGAUCUUAUGAUUAGCUUAGAUGGAAGCAAGAAGGCCGAAGCCACGAAGAAAUUGCAUGAGAAAGUGAGGCAAAAGCUUAAGAAGAAAAAUCAAGAGAUUGCUAAGAAAGCAAACAAGGGGAGAAGAAAGCUUAUUCUUGAACUGGGUGAUUGGGUUUGGGUGCACCUUAGAAAAGAUCGGUUUUUUUCACAAAGGAAAACCAAGUGAACUCUCUCCAAUGAUAAUGCCUACAAAGUUGACCUUUCUUCAGAAUAUCAAGUGCACAACACCUUCAACAUAUGUGAACUCUCUCCUAUUUCCAUGGUUGAGGAUGAACAUCCACUGAAUUUGAGGAAAAAUUUCCUUCAAUAUGGAGAGGAUGAUACAAGUACAACUAGCUCAAGACCAUUCACACGUAGCCAAGCUCGGGAGUUACAAAAACUCUAAACCAUGUUCAUGCAAAUGGCCAUUUGUGAGUGUUUAAUUAAUUCAUCUAAGGGAUUCUAUGUUUUGAAGUGUGAAGAGGGGCUUUGAAGUGUAAGUUUAGUACACUCCAAAUCCACCCAAGACCAAGGCUAGAAUGGUCAUUUUCCUUUUAUUUUGUAAAGUACUAUAAAUAGACAAUAAUAGGGCUAUUUCUUGGACUUAUUUCAUUUUUAUUAUUAAAGAAACACAAGUCUUGAAAUAUUUUGAGAACUUCUCUCUCUUGUUCUUGAGAGUGAACCCAAAACUAGACAACAAAGUGUAGUAACACUUUUGUUGUUCUUUGGCUAGAAACUUGGGGGUCUUGAGGUUCAUGAGUUCCUCUUGAUUCAAGUAAGAAUUUGGUGUAAAUAUAUUUUAGUCUUAGGGUUCUAAUCUUCAUGUUAGGGUUCUUAGAUUUUAGGAUAUUUUGUGUCAAUUUACUAUCUAUCAAUUUGUAAUCUUUUUGUUUGUAUUUUGAUAUAGUGAAACCGUGUGGGGCUCUUUCGAUUCACUAUAGUUAUUGCAAUCUUGUGUUAUUUAUCUAUCUUGUUGAAUAUUGUCGUUGUUGCCUUGAAAACCUAGAGAAGCUGAGUGGGGCCUUUGAUUCUCUAGUGAUGUUGUUCUUGUUUUUCUCUUGAUUCCUUGUUGUAAGUUUGAUCUUUUAUAUCAGUUGAUCACGAUACAGCUAAAAAGGCAUAUCACACAGAAGUCGAAAGUAUUAUGAAGACAGCUCAAAUCCAUAUUGUUGUGGCCACUUUGAUAAUGACAGUCACUUUUGUCGCUGGUAUCACAUUGCCAGGAGGUUUUGAGAGCGACUCUGAUAACCCUAAUCAAGGGAUGGCAAUUCUAAUAAGGAAUACAACAUUUCGUGCAUUUGUUGUUUCCAAUGUCUUUGCCUUUACAUUCUCAGUUAUUGCCAUAUUCGUCUACUUUCUCAUGGCAGAUACAAGUAGAGAUCCUCAGAGUAAGAAAAUUUUAAAGAAGAUUUAUGAUCUCGCAAGUAUUUUUCAGUGCUUGGCAGUUGUAAUUGCAUUUGCAACAGGUAUGUUUGCUACCUUAUCACAUUCUCUUGGUCUUGCCGUUACUAUCUGUUCCAUAGGUUACCUCUCUAUUUUAUUGUACUUCUUGAUUGUUAUCUGUAUUUGUAGAUAUAUGAAGAAAAUAAGCGAGUACCAUUGCCGGUGUUGAAAAUUCUACUACUCGCUUAUAUGAAGGUUUCAUUUUUCUUGUUUUGACAGCAUUACAAUGCUGGAGUGAUCUUAAGGACUUCUGCCACGAAAUGGGAGUUGCCAUACAGGGAUGCGACAUGGAGGACCGUGUUGCCCUUUGGAGUGACUACGUAGCCGUUUUCUUCAUCCCUUUUCAAAUGGUCAGCAAGCAGAAAAUUGCCAUCUCCGAUAUUACCUCUCAUCGCAGCAUUACAGUAUGUUGUGUUUAGUGCAGCUAUGGUAAAAGGCCUUUUCCGGCCAAUAUCGGAGAUGACAGUUUUUUGCUUGUUGAUCAUUUGAAAAAGGAUGAAGAAAACGGCUACCAAGUCACUCCAAAGGGCAACACGGUCCUCCAUGUCGCAUCCCUCUAUGGCAACUCCUAUUUCGUGGCAGAAGUCCUUAAGAUCACUCCAGCAUUGUUAUGCUUUCAAAACAAGAAAAAUGCAACCGCGCUUAUAAGUGAGUAGCAUAAUUUUCGUCAACGACAAUGCUACUCGCUUAUAUUCUUCAUAUAUCUACAAAUAUAGAUAACAACCAAGAAGUACAAUAAAAUAGAGAGGCAACCUAUGGAACAGAUAGUAACGGCAAGACCAAUGAAAUGUGAUAAGGUAGCAAACAUACGCGUUGCAAACAUACCCGUUGCCAAUGCAAUUACAACUACUAACAUUGACAAGCACUGAAAAAUACAUACGGAUCAUAAGGCUUCUUUACAAUUUUCUUACUUUGAGGAUCUCUACUUGUAUCUGCCAUGAGGAAGUAGAUGAAUAUGGCAACUACUGAGAAUGUGAAGGAAAUGGCAUCAGAAACAACAAAUGCACAAAAUGUUGUAUUCCUUAUUAGAAUCGCCAUCCAUUGAUUAGGGUUAUCAGAGUCGCUCUCAAAACCUCCUGGCAAUGUGAUACCAGUGACAAAAGUGACUGUCAUUAUCAACGUGGCCACAACAAUAUGGAUUUGAGCUACCUUCAUAAUACUUUCGACUUCUGUUUGAUAUGCCUUUUUAGCUUUAUCGUGAUCAACUUCCCUCAGUCCCAUUUUGACUCCUGUUCCCAUUUUAGCAUUUAGAUUGUGCAUGUACUCGUACUUCCGUUUUACCUCAAAGUCACGUUUUUCAAAACGGCUAAUGCUAUACAAAUCCUCCACCAAUUUCUCCUAUUUUCAUUAAUAGUACAGUUUAUAUUGAGUCGGUCCAAAAUUUUAACAUAGUAACUUGUUUAAUUGAGAACUAAUCUGUUCAUAGCUUAAGAGAUAAUGAUAUCAUGUAAAAAUAAAUUUAGGCGAAGGUAGAGCAAGAAAUAGAAUUACAGUUUUACUUGAUGUUUCAACACCAUAUCAAGAACGGACAAAAAGCUUAAGAUUUGUGAGUGCAUGCAAAUCAUUCUUUUGCUUGACAUAAUCCUUGAACUAGUAUUUCAAUAUUUCACUAGCAUAUACUUAAGUGCAACAAGUAUUUGAAAAAUAAAUGUGUGAUCGCUUACCUUCUUUGUUGUCAUUGUACAUGACAAUACUAUAUCAAGUGGAGUCUGUUUUUUUUUUGUUAAAUGACAUCUUCUUUGCUCUAGGGUGAUUUAUUAAUUCAGGCACAUAAUUACCAGAGGCAGCAAGCAAAUGGAGAGGAGUAGGGGUGACAAAUGGGUGGGUUGGGUUGAAGUUGGGCGGGUCAAGAUGGGCUGAACAAAUAAUUGAGCUAAUGCCCAAUCCUGCCCAAAUGCAUUUGGGUCAAGAUGGACUACACUAUGGGUAAUGCGUUACAACCCACCCAACCCACCCAAAUGCAACUUUAAUCAAAUUAAAAACGUCAGCAAGUUUUUUUCCUUUUUUCUAUCUUUUUUACAUUUUCUUUUUUUUUCUUUUUCAUUUUUUUAUUCCAUUUUUUCCUUUUUAUUUGUUUCUUUUUUCCUUUUUAUUUUGUUCUAUUUUAUUUUAUUUUUUUUCCUUCUCUUUUUUUUUCGUUUUUAAUCUAUUUUUUGUUUUUAUUACUUUUUUCUUUGAAACUUUUUUUCCUCUUUUUCGUUUUUUCUCCUUUUUUCAUUUUUUGGUAAUUCCUUUUUCUUUUCUCUCAUUUUUUAUUGUUGUUGUCGUAUUUUAUAUUUUAUAUAUUAUUUGAAUUUUAUAUUUAUUUGUAUCACAUAUAUAUAUAUAUAUAUAUAUUUCAAAUAACUUUAUUAUUUAUAUUUGAAUAUGUAACGCCCCAAAAUCUGAGUUUCUGGAUAGCUUCAAUUUGUAUUAAUAUAGGAAUAUAUUUGACCCUUCUUACAAAGAUUACGAGUUAUAAUUAAUUCUUUUUCUCACAAAUUUUAGGAGUAAUUUCUCACAAAUGAAUAUUUUUUAACUUCGUUGAUUCAACAACUACUUUAUAUUUUUAAAAUCACCUUACAUAUCAAUUUGCUUAUCAUUAUUUAAGUUUUUUUGUUUUUAUUUCAUUUUUUUCAUUUCCUUAUUUAGUGCAAAAAUAUAUGAAAUAUUUUUAAAAAAAAAAAUAGAAGCAUGAACGAAUUAAAGGAAAAAAGGAAAAAAAAUUAAACUAAUUUUUGUUUACAUGUAAAAUCGAUUACCUAACAUAGUUUUCUUUUUCUAUAUUCCCUCAAUUCUUUUCCAACUUAAAUUCAUAUUUCUUUUAUAAUUUUUUUUGAUAAAACAAGUGAUGGCAAAUCAAUUAGAUGAUUGAUCAGGAAUCAAUGUUCACACACAAUUUUUUAUUUACCAAAAAUAGCCAUAGAAAAUAUAGUAGACUUAGUUUAAUUUCCGGGAAAAAAAAUAGAAUUUGUUCGGUUAUAAUAAGGAAAGAAAUAAAACAUCAUUCACGUUCUAAAUUCUUAUAAUUUAGGGAUACAAAUUUAAUCCUAAAUUUAGAAUUUUUUCAUAUAUUAAUUAUUUUAUAUGUGAUAAAAUUUUAACUGAUUUAGAAGUGUUACUUUAAUUUUUCAUUUUUAAUAAUAUCAAUAAUUAAAGAAAAUAACUGAAAAAAUAAUUUUGCCUAUUGCGAAGACUUUUUAUGAAGGUCAAAAAGUUCAAACAAUAUUUCUAAGGUCUUUCACACUUUUAAUAUACUAUAGAUAUAGAUAAAUACAGUAGCAUUUUAGAUAAUAUUAUUUACUUUGUCCAUCUUUGCUUGUAAAUUUUGCGACAAUUAGCUUUUGCAUGAUAUAAUGUUAUUUCAAUUUCAAUAUUUUUUAGGUUUACGGAUACUUUUUGGUUAUAAAACCUUACGAGUUAGAAUUUAACUUUCCUUAAUGGAUAGAAAACUUACUUGACCAACCAGGAACUAGACAAAUCUCAGGUUGAUAUAAUUGUAGUUCCUUCCAAAGUAAAGUGAAGUCCCAACACUCCUCAUAACACCGGACAUCUUGUACGAGAGAUUCCAACAACAAACGGUUGCUUCGUAACAGCUUCUUCUGCAAAAUAGAACUACUUUGUGAUAUAUGUUGAAAUUUGAAGAAGAUUAUCUCUAAUGGUAAUAAAAGUUUUAUCAAAAUAAAACAACUAAAUACGACAAAAAAGAACAUAUCAAUUAAAUAUUUGUGAAAAAAGAUUAAGUGACACACAAUAUACAAUGAUAUACUUGAGAUACAAUAUUUAUUUAUAUCGUAUAAAAUACAUAUAGCAAUUAUUUUAACGUCGACUGCUACUUUCUAACGGGUAACGCACGUAUGCUAAACUAGUAUAUAUAUAUGUAUAGGAAGAGAGAGAGAGAGAGAGAGAGAGAGAGAGAGAGAGAGAGAGAGAGAAAUGUACUAGUAAAAAUAGCAAGUAAAAGGAAAUUGGCAAUGUAUAUAUAAUCACCGGAGAAGAUAUCGUGUGAGGACGGCAGAUAGAAAAGGCAUGGUAAUGUAAGGUGGCUGGCGGUGGAGUUUAGAUAAGAAACAUUUUCCAUAUUGGGGUCGACAAACCAAGUUCUCUAUAUGCUUUAGAUUUCAUGAAGCAUUUGUUUAUUUACCAAACCUACAACAAGCUACGGAAUAUUUCUAUGUUUCAUUCAUUCUAUUUGGAUUUGUUCCUUCAAAACUUCGCAGAACACGAAUCUUCCUAGUCGAAAAGCUCCUGGGGUAUAGGUCAUGUUACAGGAUACAGAAAGACAAGGAAUACGACGUAAAUGAAGAUACGUGGAAAGAUUGUAUAACCUCAAAUGAUAUAGUAACAAAGUUAGCUUGUAAAUUAACAAUCUGAGGAAGCUCACUAACACAAUGCUCCAGGCAAGCAAGCAGGGAUUAGCCACUUCUAUAGUGUUCUGACUAACAAACCUUUCAGAGUUGCAAUUCUUCUUUC
rnacentral:lncRNA from 1 species